rnacentral:rRNA from 1 species
GGGUGGUAAUGCCGGAUGUUCCACAUGAUCGCAUGUGAUUGUGGGAAAGAUUCUAUCGGCGUGGGAUGGGGUCGCGUCCUAUCAGCUUGUUGGUGAGGUAACGGCUCACCAAGGCUUCGACGGGUAGCCGGCCUGAGAGGGCGACCGGCCACAUUGGGACUGAGAUACGGCCCAGACUCCUACGGGAGGCAGCAGUGGGGAAUAUUGCACAAUGGGCGCAAGCCUGAUGCAGCGACGCCGCGUGAGGGAUGGAGGCCUUCGGGUUGUAAACCUCUUUUGUUUGGGAGCAAGCCUUCGGGUGAGUGUACCUUUCGAAUAAGCGCCGGCUAACUACGUGCCAGCAGCCGCGGUAAUACGUAGGGCGCAAGCGUUAUCCGGAUUUAUUGGGCAUAAAGGGCUCGUAGGCGGCUCGUC